GCAUGCGUGCCAUUAGUUAGAUGGUGAGGUAACGGCUCACCAUGACAUCGAUGGCUAGGGGGUCUGCAAGGAAGAUCCCCCACACUGGUACUGAGACACGGACCAGACUCCUACGGGAGGCAGCAGUGAGGAAUAUUGGUCAAUGGAGGCAACUCUGAACCAGCCAAGCCGCGUGAAGGAAGACUGUUCUAUGAAUUGUAAACUUCUUUUGUGGUAGAGUAAAUAUAGCUACGUGUAGUUAUUUGCAAGUAUACCAUGAAUAAGCAUCGGCUAACUCCGUGCCAGCAGCCGCGGUAAUACGGAGGAUGCAUGCGUUAUCCGGAUUUAUUAGGUUUAAAGGGUGUCUAUGCUGCCACAUAAAGUCAGGGGUGAAAGUCGGUUGCUCAACAAUCGAAUUGCCUUUGAAACUGUGUGGCUCGAGUAUAGAUGAGGUAGGCGGAAUGUGUAGUGUAGCGGUGAAAUGCAUAGAUAUUACACAGAACCCCAAUUGCGAAGGCAGCUUACCAAACUAUUACUGACGCUGAAGCACGAAAGCGUGGGUAUCGAACAGGAUUAGAUACCCUGGUAGUCCACGCCGUAAACUAUGCUCACUCGCUGUUGUCAAUAGAUCGUCAGCGGCUAAGUGAAACCGAUAAGUGAGCCACCUUGGGGAGUACGAUCGCAAGAUUGAAACUCAAAGGAAUUGACGGGGGCCCGCACAAGCGGAGGAACAUGUGGUUUAAUUCGAUGAUACGCGAGGAACCUUACCUGGGCUUAAAUGUAGAGUGCAUAAAGUGGAAACAUUUUUUCCUUCGGGACUCUUUACAAGGUGCUGCAUGGUUGUCGUCAGCUCGUGCCGUGAGGUGUCGGGUUAAGUCCCAUAACGAGCGCAACCCCUAUCGUUAGUUACCAGCACGUAUUGGUGGGGACUCUAGCGAAACUGCCGGUGUAAACCGUGAGGAAGGUGGGGAUGACGUCAAAUCAGCACGGCCCUUAUGUCCAGGGCUACACACGUGUUACAAUGGUCGGUACAGUGGGCAGCCACAUAGCAAUAUGGAGCUAAUCUCAAAAGCCGAUCUCAGUUCGGAUUGGAGUCUGCAACCCGACUCCAUGAAGGUGGAUUCGCUAGUAAUCGCGCAUCAGCCAUGGCGCGGUGAAUACGUUCCCGGGCAUUGUACACACCGCCCGUCAAGCCAUGGAAGUUUGG
rnacentral:rRNA from 1 species